UCUAAUAUGUCAGAUUAAAUGAGUUGGAUUUAAGAUUCAAAUAUAAAGUUUCAAGCUUUUGUUAGAA
rnacentral:tRNA from 1 species